rnacentral:rRNA from 1 species
AGCGAACGCUGGCGGCAGGCCUAGCACAUGCAAGUCGAACGAAGUCUUCGGACUUAGUGGCGGACGGGUGAGUAACACGUGGGAACGUGCCUUUAGGUUCGGAAUAACUCAGGGAAACUUGUGCUAAUACCGAAUGUGCCCUUCGGGGGACAGAUUUAUCGCCUUUAGAGCGGCCCGCGUCUGAUUAGCUAGUUGGUGAGGUAAAGGCUCACCAAGGCGACGAUCAGUAGCUGGUCUGAGAGGAUGAUCAGCCACAUUGGGACUGAGACACGGCCCAAACUCCUACGGGAGGCAGCAGUGGGGAAUCUUGCGCAAUGGGCGAAAGCCUGACGCAGCCAUGCCGCGUGAAUGAUGAAGGUCUUAGGAUUGUAAAAUUCUUUCACCGGGGACGAUAAUGACGGUACCCGGAGAAGAAGCCCCGGCUAACUUCGUGCCAGCCGCCGCUGUAAGAC